rnacentral:tRNA from 1 species
GGGCGGGUAGCUCAGCUGGGAGAGCGUCGCCCUUACAAGGCGAAUGUCACAGGUUCGAGCCCUGUUCCGCCCACCA